AGAGUUUGAUCAUGGCUCAGGAUGAACGCUGGCGGCGUGCCUAACACAUGCAAGUCGAGCGAAGCGAUUUAGCGGAAGUUUUCGGAUGGAAGUUAAAUUGACUGAGCGGCGGACGGGUGAGUAACGCGUGGGUAACCUGCCUCAUACAGGGGGAUAACAGUUAGAAAUGACUGCUAAUACCGCAUAAGCGCACAGCAUCGCAUGAUGCAGUGUGAAAAACUCCGGUGGUAUGAGAUGGACCCGCGUCUGAUUAGCUAGUUGGUGAGGUAACGGCUCACCAAGGCGACGAUCAGUAGCCGACCUGAGAGGGUGAUCGGCCACAUUGGGACUGAGACACGGCCCAA
rnacentral:rRNA from 1 species